rnacentral:rRNA from 1 species
UACGAAGGGGGCUAGCGUUGCUCGGAAUCACUGGGCGUAAAGGGUGCGUAGGCGGGUCUUUAAGUCAGGGGUGAAAUCCUGGAGCUCAACUCCAGAACUGCCUUUGAUACUGAGAAGCUUGAGUCCGGGAGAGGUGAGUGGAACUGCGAGUGUAGAGGUGAAAUUCGUAGAUAUUCGCAAGAACACCAGUGGCGAAGGCGGCUAACUGGUCCGGUUCUGACGCUGAGGCGCGAAAGCGUGGGGAGCAAACAGG